GUCCGAAGCGAACAGACGAGGAGCUUGCUCCUCUGACGUUAGCGGCGGNCGGGUGAGUAACACGUGGAUAACCCUACCUAUAAGAACUGGGAUAACUUCGGGAAACCGGAGCUAAUACCGGAUAAUAUAUUGAACCGCAUGGUUCAAUAGUGAAAGACGGUUUUGCUGUCACUUAUAGAUGGAUCCGCGCCGCAUUAGCUAGUUGGUAAGGUAACGGCUUACCAAGGCAACGAUGCGUAGCCGACCUGAGAGGGUGAUCGGCCACACUGGAACUGAGACACGGUCCAGACUCCUACGGGAGGCAGCAGUAGGGAAUCUUCCGCAAUGGGCGAAAGCCUGACGGAGCAACGCCGCGUGAGUGAUGAAGGUCUUCGGAUCGUAAAACUCUGUUAUUAGGGAAGAACAAAUGUGUAAGUAACUAUGCACGUCUUGACGGUACCUAAUCAGAAAGCCACGGCUAACUACGUGCCAGCAGCCGCGGUAAUACGUAGGUGGCAAGCGUUAUCCGGAAUUAUUGGGCGUAAAGCGCGCGUAGGCGGUUUUUUAAGUCUGAUGUGAAAGCCCACGGCUCAACCGUGGAGGGUCAUUGGAAACUGGAAAACUUGAGUGCAGAAGAGGAGAGUGGAAUUCCAUGUGUAGCGGUGAAAUGCGCAGAGAUAUGGAGGAACACCAGUGGCGAAGGCGACUUUCUGGUCUGUAACUGACGCUGAUGUGCGAAAGCGUGGGGAUCAAACAGGAUUAGAUACCCUGGUAGUCCACGCCGUAAACGAUGAGUGCUAAGUGUUAGGGGGUUUCCGCCCCUUAGUGCUGCAGCUAACGCAUUAAGCACUCCGCCUGGGGAGUACGACCGCAGGGUUGUAACUC
rnacentral:rRNA from 1 species